rnacentral:rRNA from 2 species
CUUCGGGGAACGAUAACGGCGUCGAGCGGCGGACGGGUGAGUAAUGCCUAGGAAAUUGCCCUGAUGUGGGGGAUAACCAUUGGAAACGAUGGCUAAUACCGCAUGAUGCCUACGGGCCAAAGAGGGGGACCUUCGGGCCUCUCGCGUCAGGAUAUGCCUAGGUGGGAUUAGCUAGUUGGUGAGGUAAGGGCUCACCAAGGCGACGAUCCCUAGCUGGUCUGAGAGGAUGAUCAGCCACACUGGAACUGAGACACGGUCCAGACUCCUACGGGAGGCAGCAGUGGGGAAUAUUGCACAAUGGGCGCAAGCCUGAUGCAGCCAUGCCGCGUGUGUGAAGAAGGCCUUCGGGUUGUAAAGCACUUUCAGUCGUGAGGAAGGUAGUGUAGUUAAUAGCUGCAUUAUUUGACGUUAGCGACAGAAGAAGCACCGGCUAACUCCGUGCCAGCAGCCGCGGUAAUACGGAGGGUGCGAGCGUUAAUCGGAAUUACUGGGCGUAAAG